rnacentral:rRNA from 1 species
AUUGAACGCUGGCGGCACGCCUUACACAUGCAAGUCGAACGGUAACAGGUCUUCGGACGCUGACGAGUGGCGAACGGAUGAGUAAUACAUCGGAACGUGCCCAGUCGUGGGGGAUAACUACUCGAAAGAGUAGCUAAUACCGCAUACGAUCUGAGGAUGAAAGCGGGGGACCUUCGGGCCUCGCGCGAUUGGAGCGGCCGAUGGCAGAUUAGGUAGUUGGUGGGAUAAAAGCUUACCGAGCCGACGAUCUGUAGCUGGUCUGAGAGGACGACCAGCCACACUGGGACUGAGACACGGCCCAGACUCCUACGGGAGGCAGCAGUGGGGAAUUUUGGACAAUGGGCGAAAGCCUGAUCCAGCAAUGCCGCGUGCAGGAUGAAGGCCUUCGGGUUGUAAACUGCUUUUGUACGGAACGAAAAAGCUCCUUCUACUACAGGGGGCCCAUGACGGUACCGUAAGAAUAAGCACCGGCUAACUACGUGCCAGCCGCCGCGGUAA